rnacentral:rRNA from 1 species
UACGGGGGGGGCGAGCGUUGUUCGGAAUUACUGGGCGUAAAGGGUUUGUAGGUGGCCUGCUAAGUCAGACGUGAAAUCCCUCAGCUUAACUGGGGAACUGCGUCUGAUACUGGCGGGCUUGAGGACAGGAGAGGAACGCGGAAUUCCAGGUGUAGCGGUGAAAUGCGUAGAUAUCUGGAGGAAUACCGGUGGCGAAGGCGGCAUCCUGGACCGACAUUGACGCUGAGGAGCGACAGCGUGGGGAGCAAACAGG